ACUGUGGACCUGUCGUCUGACAGAUUACUGAUGAUGAUGAUGAUGAUGAUGAAGAUGAGAACCCUCCUCAACUGUGGACACAAAACUGGUAUAGAACUCACUAUUUGGCAGUGUAGGAUUUCGGAAAAAAAAAGCCUGGCCAUUCAAGAAGAAUGAAGUUGUAGAUCACAAAUAGAUCUUCAUUUAUUUGCAAAGAUAUUUAACAGUCAUACCACAUGCAAAAUUUAAGGAUGAAUAGCCUCCAAGGCGAAGUAUAAAUGGUUUACUGACAGAAAUCAGAUCAAAUUUCUAACACUCAAAUGUUCCCACCAAUAUCAGUAACAAAGUCAGUCUGUUCAAAUAUCCCAACAAACCCCAAAAUUGUAUUAUGUUAUAACGAAAGGAAAAUAUCUGAUGUUUAAUUAUUCAUUUCUACAAAAUUCAUUCAAGACAACAAAGGCUAUGACUCAAAUGUAAGACAUUUUGUUAAUGAAUAGAGUUGUUACAGUAAACUAUUUGUUUGAUGGAUAAGUCCAAGUUUCUGGGCAUGUUCAUGGAUGAAGGUAGACUGUGAUUUAUACAUUUCAUUUUUACAGUGCCAGGAAAAACCAUACAGUGCUACCCAAAUAUGCCUGGAAUAAACUUAAUUGGAGAAACAACUGAAGCAUUAUGCCUUCUGAAUAGCAUGAAGUGGUCAUCUUUGUAAUACAAAAUGGCACAAAAACAUUUCCAGAAGACAACCUUGAAUACUGAGGUACUUCAGUUUCUGACAGCCUGAGCAAACAUAUUCAAUGCCUUUGUUUGUCAGCUGGUAGCACUGUGCAACAUAAAGAUGAUUGAGGUUUGGACAUCCAGCACCAACAUAUUCCAUGCUUUUGUCUGUGAUUAAAGAACAACCAGCAGUAUCAAGAAGUUGUAGAUUCUUACAGUUACCAAUAUACUGGAAACCAUAAUCUGUUAGUGCACAGUCUCGAACAGUAAGUCUUUGGAGUUGAGGGCAGUUUGUCAAAAUCACAGCUAAUGAUGAACCAUCAAAAUCAUCACAGAGAUAUAAGUCUAAAGUAAUUAAUUUAGACAUUGACUCAUUCUUAAAUAUGGUGGAUACAUUUCGUGUCUGAUCUUCUUUAAUAGCUAUUAGUGUCAAAUUGCGCAUUUCUGACAAUUUUGAGAGACACUGUAUGUCUGUACUUGGCAGAUCUUCAUUACAGUGUUCAUAAACGAGAUAUUCCAGAUUUGCACAUUCUGUCAAGAAUCUGUGGGCUACAUUUGACAUGUAGCCUCUAUAACAGAACGACAAAAGCUGUUGUCCCUUUUUUUCCAAAAAGUAUUCAACAUCUUGAUUUUGGAAUAUCCCAAAUCCUAGAUCUAAGCAUUGCAGAGAUGGACAUCCGUCAGCAAUUGCUCUAAGUACCCCAUCUGCAACUGGGACAUUAUGUGCGUGAAAAAUUAUUAUUCUCAAUUUCUGAAGUUGUCCAACUAGAUCCGCAAAAUGUAACUGAUCUUCUAUGGGGAAGGGGAUACACAUUUUUUCUAUAUUGGGAAAUUUUAUAAGAAUUUCAUGCAAUCUGGAAUUACUCAGUUCAUGGAAAUACUUGAAUUCUAUAUGUCGAAUAUCUAUACAGUAUCUGCACAGUGUAUCAACAAUGACUUCUGUGUUGAUUCUUCCACUUGGACAGAAGGCUUGUAAUGCUGGCAUAUUCCUGAGAUGUCUUGCAAUUUCUUCGUCGGUCAUCUUGCACCCAGGACUG